UACGAAGGGUGCAAGCGUUAAUCGGAAUUACUGGGCGUAAAGGGUGCGUAGGCGGUUGUUUAAGUCUGUCGUGAAAUCCCCGGGCUCAACCUGGGAAUGGCGAUGGAUACUGGCUCGCUAGAGUGCGGUAGAGGAGAGUGGAAUUCCCGGUGUAGCAGUGAAAUGCGUAGAGAUCGGGAGGAACAUCAGUUGCGAAGGCAGAUCUCUGGGCCGUAACUGACGCUGAGGAGCGAAAGCAUGGGGAGCGAACAGG
rnacentral:rRNA from 1 species